GAUGAAGAACGUAGCGAAAUGCGAUACGUAAUGUGAAUUGCAGAAUUCAGUGAAUCAUCGAGUCUUUGAACGCACAUUGCGCCCUCUGGUAUUCCGGAGGGCAUGCCUGUUCGAGCGUCAUUAUCACCCCUCAAGCCCGGCUUGUUGUUGGAUGCAGCGCUUAUCCCGCUCCUCCCAAAGAUAAUGACGGCGUCUGCGACGACUCCUGUACACUGAGCUUUCGGGCACGUACACGGCUAGAAGUCCAGACCCGGUCGCCGUCCCCCCCGCGGGGACACCCAUUACCACAAGGUUGACCUCGGAUCAGGUAGGAAUACCCGCUGAACUUAAGCAUAUCAAUAAGCGGAGGA
rnacentral:misc_RNA from 1 species